rnacentral:rRNA from 1 species
UACGUAGGGGGCAAGCGUUGUCCGGAUUUAUUGGGCGUAAAGAGCGUGUAGGCGGCCAAGCAGGUCCGCUGUGAAAACUCGAGGCUCAACCUCGAGACGUCGAUGGAAACCGUGCGGCUAGAGUCCGGAAGAGGAGAAUGGAAUUCCUGGUGUAGCGGUGAAAUGCGCAGAUAUCAGGAAGAACACCCGUGGCGAAGGCGGUUCUCUAGUACGGUACUGACGCUGAGACGCGAAAGCGUGGGGAGCGAACAGG